rnacentral:rRNA from 1 species
ACGUGGCGGCAUGGAUUAGGCAUGCAAGUCGAACGAAUCCCGGGGUAGCAAUACCUCGGGGGAAGUGGCGAAAGGGGCAGUAAUACCUGGACAACCUACCCUGGGGAUGGGCAUAGCCGUUCUAACGAGCGGGUAAUACCCAGCGAUUCGGUUGCGGGGCAUCUCGCGGCCGGGAAAUGAGUUUCGCCUCGGGAGGGGUCCAGGCGCUAUCAGGUAGUUGGUGGGGUAACGGCCUACCAAGCCUUAGACGGCUAGCGGGUGUGAGAGCACGACCCGCGCCACUGGCACUGUGACACUGGCCAGACACCUACGGGUGGCUGCAGUCGAGGAUCUUCGUCAAUGGGCGCAAGCCUGAACGAGCGAUGCCGCGUGAGCGAUGAAGGCCUUCGGGUUGUAAAGCUCAAAAGGGGUGAGAAAGGGCAACUUGAUCGAACCCCAGUAAGCUCGGGCUAAGUUCGUGCCAGCAGCCGCGGUAAGACGAACCGAGCGAACGUUGUUCGGAAUCACUGGGCUUAAAGGGCGCGUAUGCGGGUGCUCAAGUCCGGGGUGAAAUC